CCGGCGAUUUCCGAAUGGGGAAACCCAGUGUGAUUCGUCACACUAUCAUUAACUGAAUCCAUAGGUUAAUGAGGCGAACCGGGGGAACUGAAACAUCUAAGUACCCCGAGGAAAAGAAAUCAACCGAGAUUCCCCCAGUAGCGGCGAGCGAACGGGGAGGAGCCCAGAGCCUGAAUCAGUGUGUGUGUUAGUGGAAGCGUCUGGAAAGGCGUGCGAUACAGGGUGACAGCCCCGUACACAAAAAUGCACAUACUGUGAGCUCGAUGAGUAGGGCGGGACACGUGGUAUCCUGUCUGAAUAUGGGGGGACCAUCCUCCAAGGCUAAAUACUCCUGACUGACCGAUAGUGAACCAGUACCGUGAGGGAAAGGCGAAAAGAACCCCGGCGAGGGGAGUGAAAAAGAACCUGAAACCGUGUACGUACAAGCAGUGGGAGCCUCUUAAUGGGGUGACUGCGUACCUUUUGUAUAAUGGGUCAGCGACUUAUAUUCUGUAGCAAGGUUAACCGAAUAGGGGAGCCGAAGGGAAACCGAGUCUUAACUGGGCGUUAAGUUGCAGGGUAUAGACCCGAAACCCGGUGAUCUAGCCAUGGGCAGGUUGAAGGUUGGGUAACACUAACUGGAGGACCGAACCGACUAAUGUUGAAAAAUUAGCGGAUGACUUGUGGCUGGGGGUGAAAGGCCAAUCAAACCGGGAGAUAGCUGGUUCUCCCCGAAAGCUAUUUAGGUAGCGCCUCGUGAAUUCAUCUCCGGGGGUAGAGCACUGUUUCGGCAAGGGGGUCAUCCCGACUUACCAACCCGAUGCAAACUGCGAAUACCGGAGAAUGUUAUCACGGGAGACACACGGCGGGUGCUAACGUCCGUCGUGAAGAGGGAAACAACCCAGACCGCCAGCUAAGGUCCCAAAGUCAUGGUUAAGUGGGAAACGAUGUGGGAAGGCCCAGACAGCCAGGAUGUUGGCUUAGAAGCAGCCAUCAUUUAAAGAAAGCGUAAUAGCUCACUGGUCGAGUCGGCCUGCGCGGAAGAUGUAACGGGGCUAAACCAUGCACCGAAGCUGCGGCAGCGACACUAUGUGUUGUUGGGUAGGGGAGCGUUCUGUAAGCCUGUGAAGGUGUACUGUGAGGUAUGCUGGAGGUAUCAGAAGUGCGAAUGCUGACAUAAGUAACGAUAAAGCGGGUGAAAAGCCCGCUCGCCGGAAGACCAAGGGUUCCUGUCCAACGUUAAUCGGGGCAGGGUGAGUCGACCCCUAAGGCGAGGCCGAAAGGCGUAGUCGAUGGGAAACAGGUUAAUAUUCCUGUACUUGGUGUUACUGCGAAGGGGGGACGGAGAAGGCUAUGUUGGCCGGGCGACGGUUGUCCCGGUUUAAGCGUGUAGGCUGGUUUUCCAGGCAAAUCCGGAAAAUCAAGGCUGAGGCGUGAUGACGAGGCACUACGGUGCUGAAGCAACAAAUGCCCUGCUUCCAGGAAAAGCCUCUAAGCAUCAGGUAACAUCAAAUCGUACCCCAAACCGACACAGGUGGUCAGGUAGAGAAUACCAAGGCGCUUGAGAGAACUCGGGUGAAGGAACUAGGCAAAAUGGUGCCGUAACUUCGGGAGAAGGCACGCUGAUAUGUAGGUGAAGUCCCUCGCGGAUGGAGCUGAAAUCAGUCGAAGAUACCAGCUGGCUGCAACUGUUUAUUAAAAACACAGCACUGUGCAAACACGAAAGUGGACGUAUACGGUGUGACGCCUGCCCGGUGCCGGAAGGUUAAUUGAUGGGGUUAGCGGUAACGCGAAGCUCUUGAUCGAAGCCCCGGUAAACGGCGGCCGUAACUAUAACGGUCCUAAGGUAGCGAAAUUCCUUGUCGGGUAAGUUCCGACCUGCACGAAUGGCGUAAUGAUGGCCAGGCUGUCUCCACCCGAGACUCAGUGAAAUUGAACUCGCUGUGAAGAUGCAGUGUACCCGCGGCAAGACGGAAAGACCCCGUGAACCUUUACUAUAGCUUGACACUGAACAUUGAGCCUUGAUGUGUAGGAUAGGUGGGAGGCUUUGAAGUGUGGACGCCAGUCUGCAUGGAGCCGGCCUUGAAAUACCACCCUUUAAUGUUUGAUGUUCUAACGUUGGCCCCUGACCGGGGUUGCGGACAGUGUCUGGUGGGUAGUUUGACUGGGGCGGUCUCCUCCUAAAGAGUAACGGAGGAGCACGAAGGUUGGCUAAUCCUGGUCGGACAUCAGGAGGUUAGUGCAAUGGCAUAAGCCAGCUUGACUGCGAGCGUGACGGCGCGAGCAGGUGCGAAAGCAGGUCAUAGUGAUCCGGUGGUUCUGAAUGGAAGGGCCAUCGCUCAACGGAUAAAAGGUACUCCGGGGAUAACAGGCUGAUACCGCCCAAGAGUUCAUAUCGACGGCGGUGUUUGGCACCUCGAUGUCGGCUCAUCACAUCCUGGGGCUGAAGUAGGUCCCAAGGGUAUGGCUGUUCGCCAUUUAAAGUGGUACGCGAGCUGGGUUUAGAACGUCGUGAGACAGUUCGGUCCCUAUCUGCCGUGGGCGCUGGAGAACUGAGGGGGGCUGCUCCUAGUACGAGAGGACCGGAGUGGACGCAUCACUGGUGUUCGGGUUGUCAUGCCAAUGGCACUGCCCGGUAGCUAAAUGCGGAAGAGAUAAGUGCUGAAAGCAUCUAAGCACGAAACUUGCCCCGAGAUGAGUUCUCCCUGACUCCUUGAGAGUCCUGAAGGAACGUUGAAGACGACGACGUUGAUAGGCCGGGUGUGUAAGCGCAGCGAUGCGUUGAGCUAACCGGUACUAAUGAACCGUGAG
rnacentral:rRNA from 1 species